rnacentral:misc_RNA from 1 species
CGAGCGCCAUUUCUACCCUGGAGCCCUGCUCUGUGAUGGGCCCCGUCCUCGCGGACGGCCCGAAACCUGUGGGCGCCGUCGUCCGGCCCUGAGCGUAGCAAGAGAAAUCCCUCGCUCGGAGUGCCUGUCGGUCGGUCGCCCCGAACCCCCAUUUUUACAAGGUUGGCCUCGGAUCAGGUGGGGAUACCCGCUGAACUUAA